GUAGGUGGCAAGCGUUGUCCGGAAUUAUUGGGCGUAAAGCGCGCGCAGGCGGUUCUUUAAGUCUGAUGUGAAAGCCCACGGGCUCAACCGUGGAGGGUCAUUGGAAACUGGGGAACUUGAGUACAGAAGAGGAAAGCGGAAUUCCACGUGUAGCGGUGAAAUGCGUAGAGAUGUGGAGGAACACCAGUGGCGAAGGCGGCUUUCUGGUCUGUAACUGACGCUGAGGCGCGAAAGCGUGGGGAGCAAACAGGAUUAGAUACCCUGGUAGUCCACGCCGUAAACGAUGAGUGCUAAGUGUUAGGGGGUUUCCGCCCCUUAGUGCUGCAGCUAACGCAUUAAGCACUCCGCCUGGGGAGUACGGCCGCAGGGCUG
rnacentral:rRNA from 1 species